CAAUAGUUGAUCCGGAUCAUGAAUUGAAGAUUGAAGAAUUUGGAGAUCAAAUUCCAUAUUUUGGAAAGUGAAGGACUUGAAUUGAAUCAAAGAAGAAAUGGCUUGCAAGAAUAAAAGGGCUCAAGGAUUGAAUUGCAUUAUCUUGAAAGACGAAGGACUUGAAGAAUAAUUUAAGUAAUAAUGCCUUAAAUUGGUGAUUGAUUG
rnacentral:lncRNA from 1 species